CAAUAGCGUAUAUUAAAGUUGUUGCAGUUAAAAAGCUCGUAGUUGGAUUUCUGGUUGAAGCGACCGGUCGGGCGUUGAUUCGUCUGCACUGGAGGCGGUUUUGGCCAUCCUCUAGGAAAGUGCGUCUGGUAUUAAGUUAUCGGGCGUAUGAUCCUGGUCUUUUACUGUGAAAAAAUUAGAGUGUUUAAAGCAGGCCUUCGCCUUGAAUACAUUAGCAUGGAAUAAUAAGAUAGGACUUUGGUCUAUUUUGUUGGUUUGCAGACCGAAGUAAUGAUUAAUAGGGAUAGUUGGGGGUAUUUAUAUUCCGAUGUCAGAGGUGAAAUUCUUAGAUUUUCGGAAGAUAAACUUAUGCGAAAGCAUUUACCAAGGAUGUUUNCAUUAA
rnacentral:rRNA from 1 species